UACGUAGGGUGCGAGCGUUGUCCGGAAUUAUUGGGCGUAAAGGGCUCGUAGGCGGUUUGUCGCGUCGGGAGUGAAAUCCAUUGGCUUAACUGGUGGCUUGCUUUCGAUACGGGCAGACUGGAGGUAUGCAGGGGGAGAACGAAUUCCUGGUGUAGCGGUGAAAUGCGCAGAUAUCAGGAGGAACACCGGUGGCGAAGGCGGUUCUCUGG
rnacentral:rRNA from 1 species